UACGUAGGGUGCAAGCGUUAAUCGGAAUUACUGGGCGUGAAGCGUGCGCAGGCGGUCUUGCAAGACAGGUGUGAAAUCCCCGGGCUUAACCUGGGAACUGCACUUGUGACUGCAAGGCUGGAGUACGGCAGAGGGGGAUGGAAUUCCGCGUGUAGCAGUGAAAUGCGUAGAUAUGCGGAGGAACACCGAUGGCGAAGGCAAUCCCCUGGGCCUGCACUGACGCUCAUGCACGAAAGCGUGGGGAGCAAACAGG
rnacentral:rRNA from 1 species